rnacentral:rRNA from 1 species
CCUACGGGUGGCUGCAGUGAGGAAUAUUGGUCAAUGGACGAGAGUCUGAACCAGCCAAGUAGCGUGAGGGAUGACUGCCCUAUGGGUUGUAAACUUCUUUUAUAACGGAAUAAAACGAGGCACGUGUGCCUUUUUGCAUGUACUUUAUGAAAAAGCAUCGGCUAACUACGUGCCAGCCGCCGCGGUAAUACGUAGGAUGCGAGCGUUAUCCGGUUUUAUUGGGUUGAAAGGGUGCUUAGGCGGUAUGCCAAGUCAGCGGUAAAAACGCGGUGCUCAACCCCGGCGUGCCGUUGAAACUGGCGUUCUUGAGUGGGCGAGAAGUAUGCGGAAUGCGUGGUGUAGCGGUGAAAUGCAUAGAUAUCACGCAGAACUCCGAUUGCGAAGGCAGCAUACCGGCGCCCUACUGACGCUGAGGCACGAAAGCGUGGGUAUCGAACAGGAUUAGAUACCCGAGUAGUC